UACGUACCGUACGAACGUUAUUCGGAAUUACUGGGCUUAAAGGGUUUGUAGGCGGCCUUGUAAGUCAGGUGUGAAAUCCCUCGGCUCAACCGAGGAACAGCGCUUGAUACUGCAAGGCUUGAGGGAGACAGGGGUAAGCGGAACUGAUGGUGGAGCGGUGAAAUGCGUUGAUAUCAUCAGGAACACCGGUGGCGAAAGCGGCUUACUGGGUCUCUUCUGACGCUGAGGAACGAAAGCUAGGGUAGCGAACGGG
rnacentral:rRNA from 1 species